GCGAGUCACGUUUCCUCAUUUCUCCAUUUGUUUUAUUCCAUUCAGAUCCGGUCCACAUCAGGACCAAACAGUAAUUAUUAUUGUGGCCCUCAGCCCUCUGGGACCUCUGAGACAUGCGUUUACAGAGGCAUGUUUUAGUUCUCUGGUGUUUGUGUGUCUGUUCCUCUUCCUAUUGAAUGAUGAGUGGAAGUAGAAUCUUUCAUCACCUCUGUGACGAAGCCUGUUAUUGGAUGAACAGUCUGACUUAAUGAAACAGAUCGAGUUGCUGCAGCUGUGGAAGCUGAUGGAUUAACUGGGUGGUGGUUGGCGCAGACAUAUUCUUGCAAACAGUGUGUCUGGAGUUCAGCAGGGUGGCUGGUAUGAGCCUGAGACACGCAUUCUACAAGGCCCUUGACCGUCACAGUCCCAGGCUCAUGGAAAUCUUCAAGGCAAAGAGAGGGCUCACAGGGCAGGUGUUGGCUGACCUGAUGCGACAAACAAAGGAUGUUGAUGAUGAAGGAGGUUCGUACAAUGAUGUGCCAGUGGGUAUCGUCUGCCAUGAACAGGAAAACAUCACACCACACACGCAGUCUCUUCACCACAAUGCAUCCUCAGUGGGAAUCAUCUUGGAGGGAAACAUUGUGAUGGAUGUUGAGAGCCUACCAUGUACAUUGUCUUCGGACUUACCUGUGCACUUCAUCUCAACUACCCAAAGUACAUGAAGAACACUUUUGAUUUUUUUCAACAGGUACUUCUGAACUUAGGUGAGACAGAUCUGAAACCUAAACUUCAAACACUCAAGAAUCAGCUUGCAAUGUAAGAUCCAGAAUCUCAUCUUCACAAGUCAAAUGUGAGGGAUUUUUUUGUUUGUUUUAUAAAUUGGCAGAAAAGAAAAAGGAAAGUAAUAAUUCUGGCCUUCAACAUUUGUUAGUUACAACUUUGAAGGGAAUGUAUGGAUGUGAAGAGAGAGGGUAAGGAGAGAAGGACAGAUUUAAAAAAUAAAAAAAUGUUACGUGGGGGUUAGAGAAAGCAUGGGGGGUUGUGAGGAGGGGAGAGUGUGAACUCUAGAUAGGUAACUACUGUCCGUUUUAUUUAGGAAUCUGCUGUUAUUUUUUUCACUCUCUCGUUCUCUCUUUUUUCAUUCUCACACACUUUUUUGUUUUUCCACGAACAUAUUUGUUAUUUGUAAAUGUACAGAUGCCAGUGUUCAGCAGGGCUGAGUUUUAUCUUGCCAGUUUGUCAGCCAAAUUUGAAGGGGCGAUUUGAAGAGUAUAAUAUUGUAAUGAUUGGAGGUAAAGAGGAAGAGAGCUUUGUAUUGUACCAGUUUGUGAGGCAGAUUUUUUUUUUUUACUUUUCAUGCCAUCACUGCGGAAUCUGCAGCCUAUUAGGCCAUGGCUUUGUUUCUUUCUUUUGUUUUUGAAAAAAGAUAUGUUCAAUAAAAAAAAACUUG